rnacentral:rRNA from 1 species
GGUUAAUUCCGUUAACGAACGAGACCUUAACCUGCUAACUAGUCUACCUGUGAACAACAGGUUGUACUUCUUAGAGGGACUAUUGUGCAAGAAGCCAAUGGAAGUUUAAGGCAAUAACAGGUCUGUGAUGCCCCUAGACGUGCUCGGCCGCACGCGCGUUACAAUGACUGGCGCAGAAAGUAUUUCCUGUCCUGGGAAGGUACGGGUAAUCUUAUUAAUACCAGUCGUGUUAGGGAUAGUUCUUUGGAAUUUUGGAUCUUGAACGAGGAAUUUCUAGUAAGUGCAAGUCAUCAGCUUGCGUUGAUUAUGUCCCUGCCGUUUGUACACACCGCCCGUCGCUUGUAGUAACGAAUGGUCUGGUGAACCUUCUGGACUGUGACAGCAAUGUUACGGAAAAAUAAGUAAACCCUACCAUUUGGAACAACAAGAAGUCGUAACAAGGUAUCUGUAGGUGAACCUGCAGAUGGAUCAUUA